rnacentral:rRNA from 1 species
GGUUAAGCGACUAAGCGUACACGGUGGAUGCCCUGGCAGUCAGAGGCGAUGAAGGACGUGCUAAUCUGCGAUAAGCGUCGGUAAGGUGAUAUGAACCGUUAUAACCGGCGAUUUCCGAAUGGGGAAACCCAGUGUGAUUCGUCACACUAUCAUUAACUGAAUCCAUAGGUUAAUGAGGCGAACCGGGGGAACUGAAACAUCUAAGUACCCCGAGGAAAAGAAAUCAACCGAGAUUCCCCCAGUAGCGGCGAGCGAACGGGGAGCAGCCCAGAGCCUGAAUCAGUGUGUGUGUUAGUGGAAGCGUCUGGAAAGGCGUGCGAUACAGGGUGACAGCCCCGUACACAAAAAUGCACAUAUUGUGAGCUCGAUGAGUAGGGCGGGACACGUGGUAUCCUGUCUGAAUAUGGGGGGACCAUCCUCCAAGGCUAAAUACUCCUGACUGACCGAUAGUGAACCAGUACCGUGAGGGAAAGGCGAAAAGAACCCCGGCGAGGGGAGUGAAAAAGAACCUGAAACCGUGUACGUACAAGCAGUGGGAGCACGCUUAGGCGUGUGACUGCGUACCUUUUGUAUAAUGGGUCAGCGACUUAUAUUCUGUAGCAAGGUUAACCGAAUAGGGGAGCCGAAGGGAAACCGAGUCUUAACUGGGCGUUAAGUUGCAGGGUAUAGACCCGAAACCCGGUGAUCUAGCCAUGGGCAGGUUGAAGGUUGGGUAACACUAACUGGAGGACCGAACCGACUAAUGUUGAAAAAUUAGCGGAUGACUUGUGGCUGGGGGUGAAAGGCCAAUCAAACCGGGAGAUAGCUGGUUCUCCCCGAAAGCUAUUUAGGUAGCGCCUCGUGAAUUCAUCUCCGGGGGUAGAGCACUGUUUCGGCAAGGGGGUCAUCCCGACUUACCAACCCGAUGCAAACUGCGAAUACCGGAGAAUGUUAUCACGGGAGACACACGGCGGGUGCUAACGUCCGUCGUGAAGAGGGAAACAACCCAGACCGCCAGCUAAGGUCCCAAAGUCAUGGUUAAGUGGGAAACGAUGUGGGAAGGCCCAGACAGCCAGGAUGUUGGCUUAGAAGCAGCCAUCAUUUAAAGAAAGCGUAAUAGCUCACUGGUCGAGUCGGCCUGCGCGGAAGAUGUAACGGGGCUAAACCAUG